AUUGAACGCUGGCGGCAUGCUUUACACAUGCAAGUCGAACGGUAACAGGUUAAGCUGACGAGUGGCGAACGGGUGAGUAAUGCAUCGGAACGUGCCCGAUCGUGGGGGAUAACGCAGCGAAAGCUGCGCUAAUACCGCAUACGAUCUGAGGAUGAAAGCGGGGGACCGUAAGGCCUCGCGCGACCGGAGCGGCCGAUGUCAGAUUAGGUAGUUGGGGGGGUAAAGGCUCCACAAGCCAACGAUCUGUAGCUGGUCUGAGAGGACGACCAGCCACACUGGGACUGAGACACGGCCCAGACUCCUACGGGAGGCAGCAGUGGGGAAUUUUGGACAAUGGGCGAAAGCCUGAUCCAGCAAUGCCGCGUGCAGGAAGAAGGCCUUCGGGUUGUAAACUGCUUUUGUACGGAGCGAAAAGGCUCUCUCUAAUACAGGGGGCUCAUGACGGUACCGUAAGAAUAAGCACCGGCUAACUACGUGCCAGCCGCCGCAGUAA
rnacentral:rRNA from 1 species